GUUGACCGCUGGCAGCAGGCCUACCACAUGCAAGACGGGCGAACGGCGGACGGGUGAGUAGUGUAUGGGGAUCUGCGUGAUGGAGGGCGUUAACUACAGGCAACGGUAGCUAAUACCGCAUACCGUAAGAUGAACCCAGAGGGGACUAGCUUGUAGGUGAGGGAACGGCUCACCUAGGCGACUAUCCCUUGCUGGUCUGAGAGGAUGAUCAGCCACACUGGGACUGAGACACGGCCCAGACGCCUACGGGAGGCAGCAGUGGGGAAUAUUGCACAAUGGGCGCAAGCCUGAGGCAGCCAUGCCGCGUGUAUGAAGAAGGCCUUCGGGUUGGAAAGUACUUUCAGGCGGGAGGCGUUACCGCCAGAAGAAGCACCGGCUAACUCCGUGCCAGCAGCCGCGGUAAUUC
rnacentral:rRNA from 1 species